GGAGGGGGGAGGGAUAGCAUUGGGAGAUAUACCUAAUGCUAGAUGACACAUUAGUGGGUGCAGUGCACCAGCAUGGCACAUGUAUACAUAUGUAACUAACCUGCACAAUGUGCACAUGUACCCUAAAACUUAGAGUAUAAUAAAAAAAAAAAAAAAAAAAGAAUAGGGCGUCCGAAGGCUUCAUUUGUUCACAAGAAGCCAACUGAAAAUUAACAUAUAAAAAUGUAUAAACUAGUAUAAGAAAUUGUCAAAACAAAGUGAAAGCAUAGUGGAAAUAAAUGCAUUUAAGAAGAAACAAAGAUAAAAGAAGAAGGAAGGAAGGAAAAGAGGGAGGGAAAGAGGAAGGUGGGGAGGAAGGGAAGUAAGAUAGCACUCUAGAGAUGGUGAAACCAAAAUAGUAUGGUUUCCUAAUACAUACUGUAAACUUAUAAAAAAUGUUGGGGCCCUUCAAUUAUCCUAAUAAUGUACAGAAAGCUAUUUCACUAAAGUAGUGGAAGAAUUCUUGCUGUGUAUUUUUAUGAUUAAAUCUCUGGAAAAAUGUAGGUUCAGGUUUAUAUGUGUGUGGGAUAGGGAAUUUAUAUGGGAGUUAAUUUUAUGAAAUAAAGAAGACCUGGUUGAUGAUGUGGAGUUGACAUAAAUUUGGAUUUUUUUUUUUUCCCUCUGUUGUCCAGGCUGGAGGGCAGUGGUGCGAUCUCAGCUCACUACUGCGAUCUCAGCUCACUACUGCAACCUUCACCUCCUGGGUUCAAGUGGUUCUUUCAACUCAGCCUCCUGAGUAGCUGGGACUACAGGUGUGCCCCACCACGCCUGGCUAAUUUUUCUAUUUUUUGGUAGAGACAGGGUUUCACCAUGUUGGCCAGGCUAGUCUCCAACUCCUGGCCUCAAGUGACCCACCUGUCUUGGCCUCCCAAAGUGCUGGGAUUACAGGUGUGAGCCACCACACCUGGCCACAUUCAGGUAUUCUUAAUAAUCUUUGUGAAACAAUGAAAAUGGAAAGCUGGGAAAUAAAAAUGUGGGGGAUGGGGGUGAAGAUUUCUCAAGUUGUCUAAAAGGUAAAGGUCAUAUGCUGAUAACUACAGAUUUCACAUAAAACCUCAGUCUAAAACAAAAUAAUAAAUAUUAUAAAAAAGCACUAGCAAGAAACAUAAAGGCAAAACGGCAAAUCAUGCCAAGCUUACCUGAUUUUCUUGAGUGAAGAAUCUGUGGUUGGUUUGGUUGGAUGGGUGAAUAGAUAGAUAUACAUUAUACCUUAAAUUCAGCAAGGAAUUUAACACAAUUUAUUAAAAAUCCUUGGGAAUCAUGUAGUAAACUGAGUUUGUACUUUUGGGUAGGUUCCUAGCUUUAACAUACUAAUGACACUUAACUGUGAAGUGUCCAUCUGUGAGAAAAGGCUCUCAUGGGAUGCCACACUGAGGUUUCAACAGUGGCUUGAAAUAAAAAUUUGCAGGUAAGAAAACAUCAGAAGUACUAAAGCUAAAAAGAAUAGGUAUGACGAUAAAAGAUUAACUCAGACUGCAUCAGGCACACAUAGAAUCAUAAUAUGUAUCUGAUGAAAAAAACAAAUCAAUUAAUUGAAUCGACAACUGAUGUUUACUAAGCCUGAAGUCCCGCACUUAAGUAAAAACAAAUUUUAAAAAAGGCAUAAAUAGCACAGAGUGGAAAAAGUGGGGUUUUAGUUAACCUCACAUAAUAAAAGUCAAUUAUAUUUUAUCUAUAUCUCUGAGGUUCAAAAUCUUUGAAAACUGAAAGUUUUACCCUACAUUUGUCACCAAAAUUCAUUUGGAAGCAACAAGUUUUACAAUUCAUAUAUAUUAAUAUAUAAUAGAAAAAUGUCUGAAUAAUAUGAUUAGGAGAUGAUGCUUUACAUAAUAUUUGAUAAAUAGAUUAUAUCAUAUUCCUAAAAUCAGAAAAAUCCUGAAUUUUGAAAUAAUCUGACCUCAAGAGUUAGAAUAAAGGCUUUGGACUUAUCUUAGACAAAAGUGUGAGCAUAUUGAUUAAAAAAAAAAAGAAAAAGGAAGAAAAUCUUGGUCAAAAUAAUGGAAAGGGAAGCAUUAUUCUUCAAACAUGAAAAAAUAAAUAAUUUAACCUGCUGGGGCAACAUGUGAAAUAUUAUAGCAUUAUAAUUUAAGAAGAAUGUUAAAUUUAUUUGAUAUCUAACAGAUUACCUGAUAUAUGUUAGGCACUAGGUAAAUAUUUGUUGAAUGAAUGAUUAUAAUGCAUCAUUUUAAAAACUAAACAUACCAAUUAUCUAAACUCACAUAUUUCUUCUUUUCUAUUCCCAGUGAAUCUUUCUGGUUUUCACUUCUGAACCCCAGAUUAUCUAGCAAACCACGAAUCACUGCCUCAGUGACUUUGCUCAUGAUGCCACAUCUAUGGAAAUGUUCAUUCUACAUAUCUCCUACCUAUAUUCAAAGACAGGGCACCUAUAUUUUUGAAGAAGCUUUCCCUAAUCUCUCCUGAGGGAGAGCUAAUCUUUACUUUCCUAUGCACUCAAGAGUACCCAGAACACAUUCCAGAAUAGAUCUUAUUUUUGUACAUGUCUUGUUUCCCAAAGUUCAGGUUUCUUAAGGGCGGAGGCUGCUGUUUGUUUCUACCCUUUGAUAUUACUUGAUGCCAUUGCUUUUACAUAUUCAUAAUCCAAAAAUUAUUGAAUUGAAUCAAAAUUAAUAGGAAUAAUGAAAGACUAUAAACUAAAUUACAAUCAUGACAGUUAAAAGAAAAUAUAAAGCAUUAGCAAGAGAACUGAGACCACUGUCUGUUUUUAUUGGCUAGUAUAUAUUCAAUGUUAGCUCAAUACCCAGCACUUAAUAAGGUGAAAAUUAUUGAACAAAUAAACUAGUGUCUAACCUGGGGAAUAAAAACUAAGAUGAUGCAUGAAAACAAUUUUAAAAUACAUGAAGUUAAAGUCUAGCAUGUAGAAGAGGAAGAAGAGUUAGUACAUGUUGUUCCAGAACAGAACUCCAGAUCACAGAUGAAUUUAAAAAGAUACAAAUGUCAUUAUGAAGAACCACAGUGAUUGGAUCAUGACAGAGACUGCUUUAUAAACCAACUAGUUCUCUCUACUUAUGGUCUUAGCAAACAGUAAAUGAUGAUCUGUUGGGGAAAAUUCCAGGAAUAAAUUUUCUCAAAUUACACUUUUUUUUUUUUUUUUGAGACGUAGUCUCUCUCUGUCGCCCA
rnacentral:lncRNA from 10 species